rnacentral:rRNA from 1 species
AUUGAACGCUGGCGGCAGGCCUAACACAUGCAAGUCGAGCGGAUGAAGGGAGCUUGCUCCUGGCUUCAGCGGCGGACGGGUGAGUAAUGCCUAGGAAUCUGCCUGGUCGUGGGGGCUAACGUCCGGAAACGGGCGCUAAUACCGCAUACGUCCUGAGGGAGAAAGUGGGGGAUCUUCGGACCUCACGCUAUCUGAUGAGCCUAGGUCGGAUUAGCUAGUUGGUGGGGUAAAGGCCUACCAAGGCGACGAUCCGUAACUGGUCUGAGAGGAUGAUCAGUCACACUGGAACUGAGACACGGUCCAGACUCCUACGGGAGGCAGCAGUGGGGAAUAUUGGACAAUGGGCGAAAGCCUGAUCCAGCCAUGCCGCGUGUGUGAAGAAGGUCUUCGGAUUGUAAAGCACUGUAAGUUGGGAGGAAGGGCAGUAAGUUAAUACCUUGCUGUUUUGACGUUACCAACAGAAUAAGCACCGGCUAACUUCGUG